rnacentral:rRNA from 1 species
GACGAACGCUGGCGGCGUGCUUAACACAUGCAAGUCGAACGAGACGAUUGGAAGCUUGCUUUUAAAAGUCGAGUGGCAAACGGGUGAGUAACGCGUAGACAACCUGCCUUUGAGAUGGGGACAACAGUUCGAAAGGACUGCUAAUACCGAAUGUUGUAUAUUUUCCACAUGGAAGAUAUAUUAAAGAUGUCCUCUAGUUAUAAGCUAUCGAUAAAAGAUGGGUCUGCGUCUGAUUAGUUGGUUGGUGGGGUAACGGCCUACCAAGGCGACGAUCAGUAGCCGGUCUGAGCGGAUGAACGGCCACAUUGGGACUGAGACACGGCCCAGACUCCUACGGGAGGCAGCAGUGGGGAAUCUUCCACAAUGGACGAAAGUCUGAUGGAGCAACGCCGCGUGAGUGAAGAAGGGUUUCGGCUCGUAAAGCUCUGUUGUCGGGGACGAAUGUGCAGUAUUUGAAUAAAGUACUGUAAUGACAGUACCUGACGAGGAAGCCACGGCUAACUACGUGCCAGCCGCCGCAGUAA